UUUUUUUUUUUUUUUUUUUUUUUUUUUUUUUUUUUUUUUAAUUCGAGCUGACCUUGGAUUAGAUUUUUUAAGUCGACUUUUGCUGGUCUUCUCAGUAAUACCAAUGGAAAAAUCUUGAAGCUUCUGAACUCCUGUUGCUCAGUUAAAGCUGCAAUGUCUCCUGCUAUUGACCCUCUCAUGCUUCCAGCACCCCAAUGCUUUCCAGAUAGCCUGCUUCUUGCGUAGCGGAGUCACCUGCACCCGUGUAUGUGAAUUCUUCCCUCCUUUUCAUACUGAACCACACUCUAGACACUUUUUUUCCCCCAAUGACUUGGCCCGCCAGAACACCAUUACCACUGCAGUCACAGCCGCUACUGGAGCCAGCCAGCCAGCCAGCGUGUGCGCAAGGCCUGUUUCCCAGCCUGCUUUGGGACUAUGGUUUCACUGACUUCUGUCCCCAGAUUUUGCUCUUGAAGCCUGGCCAAAGAGACGCUUUUCUUGGGAAGGCCCCUCUGACCCUUUUGGAAGUGUCAGUACUGUGUAGAGGAGAUGAGCUCUGAGUGACUUUUGUCCCUGCCCAUGGUCACGUCUCAGGUAAUUCCAUGCCAGCACCCAGCUGUCAGCCGGAGGGACCAGAACCAGACUUGUGUGUGUUGUACAGUCCCUCCUUUCCAUUUUUGCAUCAGGGAACCCAGGCCUACAUGACUAGGACAUAUCUGUGGCCACUGUAGGUGCUCUACCAUUUCUGUGCUUGGAGAUAACUCUGUGCGUGAUGGUAGAUGCAGAACCUGAGAUGCAUCUGGCUAUAAUCUCUCUGUUGCAGCACAAGGCCAGCACGGGACCUGGGCUGCAGCUGGGGGUGGGGCUGGGGGCGGGACAGAGGAGCCAGAAUCGAACUGCAUUGAGAAACUGUGUCUUCUGCACAUGGUCAGCGCAUUUGACGUCUGCCUCUUUGGAGCAAACCUGUUACUGCUGAGGAGCUGGCACAAAUGGGGAGCACAGGUGUUUGCGGGCUUCAGUGUUGUGACUCCCUCCCAUAUGCCCCGAACCACGGUUCUGCGGAGGGGAUCCUUUGCAACGGUCUCAGGCUUCACCAUCCUCUUGGAUUUGUAGCACGGUUUCUUCUGCAUCUUCCUCUGGGCCAGGAGCCGCAGCCCAGCCUCGGCUUGAGAUCCUUAAUGGACAGUAGUGGGACCUACUUUCCUCACUACUUCCGUGUUUCCUGGCUGACCCGUUCCUGUCCCUCGACAGCUCUAACGUGCGGCUGGCACCUCCACACCCAAGCCUGCCUUCGAUGAAGCCGAUGGCAUCGAUGUGCCUCCUGUGCCUCCUCGAUCUAUUGUUGUUGGUUUUCUGCUUACUGUGGCGCCUCUUCACACUGUCCACGGAUCAGCUUGAUCCCAAGAACCCCCCGGCCCUCGAGGCAGCAUUUUUUUUUUAUCGUGGUGUCUCUACCACCUUGGCUGCACAGUAGUUCGGUGGCCUAAAUACCCCGACCCUUAAACUUCCUUUGAUGAUGGAGAGGUGGGGCUCGAGCCUCUGUUUGGAGCCCCUGCUUUGACAGGUCCAGCAGCGGGUUCUAAUUCAACCUUCGCCACAUCCCAGCCGCUCAGUGCCGCCGGCAAAGCGCUGUCGUAUGCCUGUCAACAACCAUUCAUCUUGCCAUUGCAUUUACCUUAUCAAUUCCCCCCCCCCCCCAUUGGUGAAGCUAAUACUUUCAGCAUGGGAGCCACCACCACCAGAAGCUCAGUACUGAGGACUGUAGUUUAUCAUCUUUGCACACCGCUGUUAGCUAACUUGUACCCACAGGGUCCACAGCCCCCAGCUUUAUGCCGGGACCAUUUUGGUGCCUUAGUGAAGGAACACAGACUUUAGCACCAUAACCUUGCCGGCCCGUGGCUCUUUGAUUCUGAUAUCUGUAAGAGCCCCUCUGUCCUUGGGGGUCAUCAUUCUCCUUCCUGCCUGUACUCCUAGCCAUGAGCGAAGAAAACUUGUUGCUACAGCAAGCGGCCAGCAUCACUGAGAAGACACAAGAGCCAAGUGGCAAUGUUGUGUUUUCUUGUGUUCAAAUUAGGCGGGACCUAUCCUAGCAGGGCGCAUCCUGUUUCACUACCGGUGAAAAUACCUGGUCAACGAGCUACGGUAUCUCCUCCAGUGUCUGAAGAGACGGCACCACGGCAAAGUCACCUGUGUUGACAGGUGCCCCCGAACCUUUGGCGAGACGACCCCAGCUCUGGCAUACACAGGUUUGGCCAGUGCUAUAUCUUUGUUGAAGUCAGAUGUGUAGGCACACCACCCCAUCUCUGUUGCCUGCUGCAAGAUCUCUGCAAAAUUAAGACGUGGAAGCUCAUUUUAAGAACCAGAGUGACUGUUCUCCCCACAAAACCUUGCUCCAUCAAGAAGAAGAUCAGUUUUAUGUCCUUAAGAAACUCCACUUCCUGACUUCCCUUCUGAACUUUAGAAGUAAGGGAUUUGAAACUAGAUGGACACAAGGCUGGAGGAUGCAGAGGCAGGACAAUGUGGUCUUGCUCUUUUUUUUUUUUUUUUUAAUCUCCUUUCCAAUUUCUCCAAUAUCUCUGCAGGUGGCAUUGCACCAGAUGUGUGCUGGAAACGGUUCUUGAUAUUUCUCCCUUAAAAUGUUUUAACAUCUCUUUUUGUGUGUGACUUAUUAAAAACAAGUUGGACUUAAA